rnacentral:rRNA from 1 species
GAUGAACGCUAGCUACAGGCUUAACACAUGCAAGUCGAGGGGAAACGAUAGAGAAAGCUUGCUUUUUCUAGGCGUCGACCGGCGCACGGGUGAGUAACGCGUAUCCAACCUGCCCACCACUUGGGGAUAACCUUGCGAAAGUAAGACUAAUACCCAAUGACGUCUCUAGAAGACAUCUGAAAGAGAUUAAAGAUUUAUCGGUGAUGGAUGGGGAUGCGUCUGAUUAGCUUGUUAGCGGGGUAACGGCCCACCAAGGCGACGAUCAGUAGGGGUUCUGGGAGGAAGGUCCCCCACAUUGGAACUGAGACACGGUCCAAACUCCUACGGGAGGCAGCAGUGAGGAAUAUUGGUCAAUGGACGAGAGUCUGAACCAGCCAAGUAGCGUGCAGGAUGACGGCCCUAUGGGUUGUAAACUGCUUUUAUAAGGGAAUAAAGUGAGAGUCGUGACUCUUUUUGCAUGUACCUUAUGAAUAAGGACCGGCUAAUUCCGUGCCAGCCGCCGCGGUAA